UUAAUUUCAAUUUAAUUAUAGAUCCAAUUGCUUUAUUAUAAAAUGGGGACUUCCAAUACACUAAAGGGGGAUACUAGAACACCUUAUACAUGCUACACAUUGUGACCUCAUUCACGUACCCACACAUUAGAAUAUACCGUUCAUACACUAAUACACUAGAAAUCCUUACCUCAAAAUUUCCAACUUUUUUUUCUCUCCACGUUUUAUUCUCUUACCAUGUAAUAUCCUUCACCAAUAACCGAAACCUGUAAAUAAAUUUUCAGCAAUAAUAACAUCCAAUAUUAACCUCAAUAAACCAAGAACUUCCAUAUACCACAAUCUCUACCAUAACUUAAAAUUUUCAAAAUCCAACCCUUUCAUAAGCUCUGUCAACCCAAAACUCUCCUUUAUCAAACACCAUCUUUUCUCACACCAACAUUACCACACCAAAAACAUAUACCAUGAACCUUCACCUCACAUCCAUACAAAUUCAAACCCAAUUAACAUACCACAAAUAUUCAUCACAUCAACACAAAGACCAUCACAAAUCCAUAAACCAUCAAACCUUUGUAACAAAAAACUUAACAUACCAUAACAACAAUUCACAGUAAAUAAAAGUCAAAUUCAGAAAACGAAGAAGAAAAGCAGCACCU
rnacentral:lncRNA from 1 species